UAAUUUGAGAGUUUGAUCCUGGCUCAGAACGAACGCUGGCGGCACGCUUAACACAUGCAAGUCGAACGGAAUUAUGGAGCUUGCUCCAUAGUUUAGUGGCGCACGGGUGAGUAACGCGUAGAUAUCUGCCUAUUGGUGGUGAACAACUCCGGGAAACUGGAGCUAAUACAGCAUAAGCUCGAGAGAGGAAAGGCCGUAAGGUUGCCAGUAGAGGGGUCUGCGUCUGAUUAGGUAGUUGGUGGGGUAAUGGCUCACCAAGCCAAUGAUCAGUAGCUGGUCUGAGAGGAUGGUCAGCCACACCGGAACUGAGACACGGUCCGGACUCCUACGGGAGGCAGCAGUGGGGAAUAUUGGACAAUGGGGGAAACCCUGAUCCAGCGAUGCCGCGUGAGUGAUGAAGGCCUUAGGGUUGUAAAGCUCUUUUGACAGGGACGAUGAUGACGGUACCUGUAGAAUAAGCACCGGCUAACUCUGUGCCAGCAGCCGCGGUAAUACAGAGGGUGCUAGCGUUGUUCGGAAUUACUGGGCGUAAAGGGCGUGUAGGCGGUCGCGUAAGUCAGAUGUUAAAGACCUGGGCUUAACCUAGGGGAUGCGUUUGAUACUGCGUGACUAGAGAACAGGAGGGGAGAAUGGAAUUUCCGGUGUAGAGGUAAAAUUCGUAGAUAUCGGAAGGAACACCAGUGGCGAAGGCGAUUCUCUGGACUGUUUCUGACGCUGAGGCGCGAAAGCGUGGGGA
rnacentral:rRNA from 1 species